UACGUAGGGUGCAAGCGUUGUCCGGAAUUAUUGGGCGUAAAGAGCUCGUAGGCGGUUUGUCGCGUCUGCUGUGAAAACUGGGGGCUCAACCCCCAGCCUGGCAGUGGGUACGGGCAGACUAGAGGUGCGGUAGGGGAGAUUGGAAUUCCGGGUGUAGCGGUGGAAUGCGUAGAGAUCCGGAAGAACACCAGUGGCGAAGGCGGCAUCCUGGACCGAGAUUGACGCUGAGGCG
rnacentral:rRNA from 1 species